rnacentral:lncRNA from 7 species
AGCAUGAGGCUUUCUGAAGGUAAGAAAGGAUGAUAGACAUUCAGAAGUACAGCUCAUCUCAUCUUAAUAUGGACAUUAGCAUGAAUGCCUGUGUCUCUUCUUGGCUGUAAUUGGAGCCUGGGGUGCCAAGCUCAAAUGGAAAUCUCUGCCUUGCAGAAAUAAGAUCAAGCUAACUUCUUGCAUGCUGUAGUCAAGAGUUGUAUUUUUGCUUUAUUUCUCAAGAAAGAUAAUCUUUUAAUGCUGAUCCUAUUCUGAAUUGCUCAGCAUUGUUCCAGAUGGGUGUCUGUGUGUUUCUCUUCAGAACUCCCUUUCCAAACCCAUGAGUGUUGCACCUGUCUGGCUGCCUGCUGUGGGCCACCAGGUAUCCUCAUGACUGUUGCGGGUGCUGUUGCUUUUGGCACUCUCCCAGGCCCUAAGGGAGAAGAGCUGCAAUGGUUACUCAACCCAGUAAGCUGCAGAGCUGGGCAAAGAACCCAGCUUCUCAUCUGUAGAUGGGGCUGUCCACAUCACGCAAGGCAUGCUCGUAGCUGAGUUGGGAGGUAGAAAGUCCUUGCUAAAGGAGAAGUGAGCUUUGGAUUCUACUAAAAAUGCACAGUUAAGAAAUGACAAUGUAACAGCCAUUGAGCUGUGGGUGAGGCAUUAAACCACUGUCAUCUGAACUAGGUAAGAAACACUUGUGUUUAAAUGAAAGCGUUUGCUCUUCCUUGGAAAAUGAACGUUCAGAAGAUCCCUGGGUUGAAGUGGGAUGGUUCAAGGAGACAGUGUGAACAGCAAUUUUUUUCCUUCAGCAGAUCCCCAUGUCCAGAUCUGUCCCUCCAUCCCUAAGCAUAAGAAACCUUAUUUGCAGUGAAAGAUGACACGAUGCAGAGACUGUAAAAAAGGUUAUGCAAGAGCCCUGGGGAUGGCUCAGGCACAAGGCAGCUCAGCAGGUCUGUACACCUGUAUAUACUGAAAGGAGCUCUGAGUCAUAACCAGAGGGGUGGGUUGAGCUACACGUGAGCAAGUGUAUAUAAUAAUUUAUUUAUUGUUGGUUUAGUUGGAUGAAAGAGUACUGAGGUGUGUCACUCAAAUGGGACACCAAGAACUAGAGCUGUAGAGGCCAGUACUGAUCGGAUGGGAAGCACACAAGGUAGUGGUGUGAACCUUACACAGAGCCUGCUGUCCUACACAGUUUGUCCCCUGGCAGUUGUAUAUGCAAUCACGCAAAAAAUAAAAUAAAUCAAG